rnacentral:misc_RNA from 1 species
UUAAGUUCAGCGGGUAUCCCUACCUGAUCCGAGGUCAACCUUCAGAAGUGGGGGGUUUAACGGCGUGGCCAAGCUGCGUUCCGGUGCGAGGUGUGCUACUACGCAGAGGAGGCUACAGCGAGACCGCCACUAGAUUUCGGGGACGCCGCCGGGGAGGCGGCCGAUCCCCAACACCAAGCCCGGGGGCUUGAGGGUUGAAA